rnacentral:rRNA from 1 species
CGAACGGGUGAGUAAUGCGUGACCAACCUGCCCCAUGCUCCAGAAUAGCUCUUGGAAACGGGUGGUAAUGCUGGAUGCUCCAACUUGACGCAUGUCUUGUUGGGAAAGUGUUUAGUGGCAUGGGAUGGGGUCGCGUCCUAUCAGCUUGUAGGCGGGGUAAUGGCCCACCUAGGCUUCGACGGGUAGCCGACCUGAGAGGGUAAUCGGCCACAUUGGGACUGAGACACGGCCCAAACUCCUACGGGAGGCAGCAGGC